UCAUGACCUUACCGUAGGUCACGUGAUGGUUUUUAGGACUUUUUAAAAAAAAAUAAACCAUUAUAAGAUUUUCUUUGAAUAACAAGAGGAGCACUGGGCCAGAAGAAAGGAGGAAUACAUUUGGGUCAUCACUCCAUCCCUUCCAACCUAUGUGACCAUGAGCAAAUCAUCUCGCCAACCCUGAAUUUGAUGAUCUGGAAAAUGAGUAAAGUAUAUAUCACAUCAGGUCAUGACCAAACUCAAUACAGAAUCCUACUGCAAGAAAAAAGUGUACAACAUUAAUCUAUUGAGAAGCUACACAAUACACAUGAUACCCUCCUGGGAAAACUUGCCAUAGAACAAAGGAACUUCUGCUAAAAUGCAAAUAUGGGCACGGGUUCUAAAAUAAAUUCUGAAUUCGUUUUUUUGUAAGAUUAACCCUGCUU